CCCCACUGUGCUUCCUGUCCUUCCUCAUAAACCUGAUACACUUUAUUCGAGACCCACCUCCUAUAGCCAAUGAAGUAUUCAAUUGCAUGAACUGUGGACGGAAAAUUGUUGCUGGAAGAUUUGCUCCUCAUUUGGAAACAUGCUUGGGGAAGAUGAUCUAUCAAAUGAGUAUAUUAUGCCGACAUUUGUUUGUGAUUUCUGGUCUUAUGACCUCUAGUCCUUUUUCGUCUUCCAUUUGGAAAAUGAUGUAACAGGGCAUGAAGACUCGUAAGGCUACGAGAAACACAACAGGUGCAUAGAAUUGGUACUCACGAGGCAGCCUUAAUCCGAAUAAUUCUUCUUAUUCAAAUUCUGCAUGCUUAAACUGGUUACCGGGUGGUCACCCGGUAUUGCAUGUAAGGGAAAUUCAAAUGGCAUUUUCUGAGAUAAUGUGAAAGAAUAAUGAAGCUGAAUCUAUGACAGGUUUAUAGUUUAUACAACAACAACAUCAGCAUCGCCUUAAUCCUAAGUUUAUUUGGGGUUGGCUUGAAUUCUUUGUUUCCACUCAUUUCGGUUUGAAGUUAAAUCUUCUUAAAUUUGCAACACUUACAAAUCAUUCCUAAUGACUCGUUCCCAAGUAAGACUAGGUCUACCUCUCCAUUUCUUUUCACCUCAUCCCUAUGUUCUCCACUUUUCUAACGGGAGCAUGUAUCGACCUAUGUUGUACAUGUUCAAACCAUAUUAAACGUCUCUCUCGUAACUUAUCCUCUACACCUAUUACUUUCUCUCUAGUACUCUCAUUUCUAAUUCUAUCCAUUCUUGUAUGUCCGCACAUCUAUCGCAACAUAUUCAUAUCGACCUGAUAAGUGUCCCACAUUGGAAAAUGAGAGGGAUUUGGGCCAAUAUAUAAGUAAGGGUCAAACCUCCACUCUUAAGCUAGCUUUUGUGGUGGAGUUAGGACCUAAACCUUAUUAAUUGGUAUAAGAGCCUGGUUCUCUACUUUCCGGUGGACCUUUGACGGGCCGUUCUCCUGCGGACAUGCGGACGACUCGGUGGUUGUGGGACGGUCGGGGAUGGACCGAGAAGCCGCCAGUGACCGAGAAGCCGCCAUUGACCGAGAAGCCGCCAGCGACCAGAUUUGCCCCAACGCCGUGGACGUCGCUGUCUAAAGGGGGCGGUAUUGAUAAGUGUCCCACAUUGGAAAAUGAGAGGGAUUUGGGCCAAUAUAUAAGUAAGGGUCAAACCUCCACUCUUAAGCUAGCUUUUGUGGUGGAGUUAGGGCCUAAACCUUAUUAAUUGGUAUCAGAGCCUAACUCUCUACUUUCCGAUGGGCCUUUGACGGGCCGUUCUCCUGCGGACAUGCGGGCGACUCGGUGGUUGUGGGACGGUCGGGAGACGAACGGUCGGGAGAGGAAUGGUCAGGAGAGGAACGGUCGGGGAUGGACCGAGAAGCCGCCAGUGACCGAGAAGCCGCCAUCGACCAAGAAGCCACCAGCGACCAGAUUUGCCCCAGCGCCGUGGACGUCGCUGUCUAAAGAAGAGGGAGGACGAAGAACAGCAAAAAAAAGGUCCUUGAGGGUUCAUUUUAAAUUAAUCACCGGGUUAACAUCUACGGAAUUUAAUAUGCACAUGGAACUGAGAUGAUGGGCUUCUUCUCAGGCAUUGGUGAUUUUCUGCAGUUGGUAUACACAUACAUAAUGUCUCAGAUGCUAUGUAUAUUCAGAGAGACCCAUAGAGGUAUUUGUCUUUGUCUAGCAUCUCCAAUCAAACAGUUCCCAGUGUUGAGAAAUGACUGUUAGAAGGCUUUGGAGCAACAGAGAGGGAUAAGCUUCCCACUUCUGCCAAUGCCAACUCCUGCAUUGCAGAGCGUCUCACAGUUUCUUGUCCUCGGCCUCAGGACAUCCAAUGUUUCUAUGCGUCCCUGGACGCGUCAGGGGAACAAAGGGGCGCUUCAUGUCUGAUCUAGUUUGUUGUCAUUAGCAUCUGUAUCAUCAACACCAUGAAUUCCUCCAUGUGCGUAUCUCUAUCCAACGCAACAAUAUAAGGAACAUAUCCAUUAAUCU